CCGCCCUGCCCCGCCCUCCCGCCUGGCCGGCCAAGUACCCCGGCGCCUCGGCUCCGGCCCGGCGGCCGCUUCCAGAGCCCUGGGCCCCUAGUCCUCCGCCGCGCCUCCCGGGCGGGGGCCUUGGGCAGGGACCGCCGUCUCCCGCUAGAGGGACCCGAGUUGCCCCCGCGGCCGUCUCGCCCCAGCGGACGGCGAGCGCCUCCGGAGCCGGGACGGCGUCCUCGUCACUAGAUCUGGCACGUAGUGGGGCCUAGCAAGAGGCUGCCAGGUGGAAGGAAGCAGAGGUGGCACGGGCCCGGCACUUAGUGGGUGCGCCCUCAGUGUGUGGUCAUUGCCGGCCUCGGGGACUUGCUCGCAGGCUUGGAGGCGGGGGGCACUCUGACGUGUCGCCUCUGGGAGAACCGUGAGACCCGCGGUGAGCAGAGUUGACGACCGGCACCCGGGGCCUCCCGGGGGUAGCCUGGGAGAUCUCUUGAGUAGCGGGGGGAGAGCGCAGGUGAGCAAGGUGAGAACGCAGAGAGGCGGGCAGAAGGCCAGGAGGGUGACCCGCAGGACCUUACAAGAGCCCAGCGCACCUGGAAGCAGGCGGCCUUAAGGUGCUAGGUCAGGGUGUGGGAGCGCAGAGGUGAGGCCCUGGUGUCUGACAGGGCACCCACCGCUGACCGUGGAGAAAUUCCUUCUGAAGAACCAGGAAAGAGAUGCCAAUUUGCAAGAGGGGUGGAACUAACUUUCAGCCAGGGCCCGCUGUGCGCCUGGCAGUGAGCUGAGUUGAGCACUGGGAUAAGAAGUGUGUGAAGCAAUGAAAGCAGAAAGGGUGAUCUUUUCAGAAGUGUGGCAGUGAUCCGGAGAAUAAGAGCAAAGGAGAGGCGAUUUCUUUAUCCCCGCCCCCCGCACCCCAAUGUGAGGUGGAGUUCUCAAAUAAAGGAGCUAAGAGGAGAGAAUAAGAGACGAGAGAUGGGAUAAUUAAUGGUGCAAGAUCCCAGAAAAGGAAAAUGAGAUAGAUACGGCUGGUGGAGGAGGAGGAAGAAAUCAGAGAAGAGGGACUCCUCUUCCUACAAGAUUUAAAGGAUGCAUAAAGAUGGAAAUAUUUUGAGAUGGGGAGGCAUUGCUACUGAGUCCUUCAUGUUUCCCUGGAUCAGCUGCCUGGAUGACCCCCAAAGUCAUCCGUAGGCCAUCUGGGGUUACUGUCCUUUAAAACGAAUCAAGAAGAAAGGAAAUUGCAAAUGGAUCUUUGAAGGAUGGAAGGGACUUAGGUCAGCAGAGAUGAGCUGGCUGGGGAGGCUGCCCUCCGCAGGAGGAACACUGCAAUCAAGGACACAAAAUAAGAAAUGGAUGGAGUGUUCAAGGAACACCAGAAGUUGGUUUGGUUGAAGCAUAGGACUCAAGGUGGAGAAAAGUAGGAGACAAAGUCCAGGAAAAUAAGAUGGGGCCAUGGUCUCGGAUGCCAAGCUAAACCUUUUGUAAUUUGCGGUUGAGAAGAACCCCUGGAGCUUGAACUGUGCAGGUGAUAAAUUUUAAAGUAAAUUUUCCCAUAACCUCUUACUUAAUGAGGUUCUGGAUCUCAGCCCUUCUAACUUAAUGAUAUUUGGAUAUUUGAUUGACUCAGCAGUGAGAUGCAGAUUGAACUUCAGACAACGCUGGACUACCACCUGUAAACCAGAGACAGCUUUCCAUUUGAAUGAACAGAAUCACAGACUAAAAUAAAAGGGGGAAAUAAUGUAUCUUGAUUGUGACAGUACAUAGAAGCUGUUGUAUCCACCACUGUUGGAAUAUGAUAGGGAAAGUAAGUACCAUCCCUUUCUUCUAAGUCCAGAACCAAUGAGAAGAUGAAAAUACAACUCCAUCACCAAUAGAGCUGAACCCAAGUAUGUGGCUUGACUGAUGACUGGUAGGCUUUUUAAUAUUCCCUGAAUUAAAAUGAUCUCCCCCAAAACUCCAACCUCCCCCUUAAGGGGGCCUAGCAACUUUCACUGUGUCUAAUUAGAGAACAUUGCACUCUCUCUGAGGGCAGGCAGAUCCAAAUUCACCAGUUAGGUAAGUCUGGGACAAAUUCUCUCCUACCCGCCGUCCUAUCAAAACAAAACAAAACAAAAAAGUUAGGGAAUAAGGAUCUAUCUCUGCCCAAACAAAUUGGGUCUGACCCAAUAAUUAGGCAGCUGAACGGGAAAGUAUAUUAAUGCAGUGAAUUAUAAAAAAUGGCAAGUCCAUACCUUAACAUCUCGUCACUUAAAACCUGUAAGGAACACCCAUUUGCCAGUCUUCGGAUGUGAGGCCAAAAUUUUUCUUUGAGCAAGAGUGCCGAUUAGAGUGCUCUUGAGACCUUUCUUGCAGAAAUCCUAUCCACGGUAUAUUUUCUGUGCUUUCCAAUUUCUUUCUUUAAAGUUGACUAAGGACUUAAAACUUCUUGCAAAGCAAUAUAAGAGAAACCUUCCUCUUAAAAAAAAAAAAAAUCUUCUGUAAUUGUCUCACCCACAUCUGGUUUGACAGUAAUUUUCAAAUGGUUGUUAGCUAAUAUUUCCAGAGCAUUCAACUGACAUUUCAUAGAAACAACUCUUUCUUUUCAUGCUUAUGUUUCAUCGGUUUGUGUAACUUAAAUUAAUUACACUCUGGCACACAGCUGUCAUAGGGAGGGUUGGGACCAAACACAACAGACUCUUGCUAGGCAUCUAACUCAAUUGGUAGGAAGAAGUGUGUAGGAAAUCCAGAGAUGAAAGCAUUCAGUAGGUCAUGGGUAGUAGUCAAUAUGUUUAACUGGAAGGAAUAGAAAGUGUUGAUUCCAGAGAGUCAACUGAAAGAGAGCCAUUAAUGCUCAUAGAAUAGUAUGACCAACUCUGUGUAUAUCUUAGCCUUCUUCUUCCAUCAUUUAUCCAUUUUAUAGUCCGCUCAAAAUCACUGUCCCUCCAUUCCCAUUUAGCUAAACAUGGCUUUGAAUGGCUUAGGAUUGGUAUGGCUAUAAAGAAAUUCAAACAGUAACAUCGCAUACUGCAUUAGCAAAAUAUACAUACCUUAGUCACUUUCCAGUGCUAAUAAGAUGAUGUAAUUGGUACAUUCAGAGAAAGCUGUGGCCAUGUGAAUGGGCAUCAUCCCUUUAAGAAGCAAUUGACCUUACUUCUGAAGAGCCUUAAAAGAGAUGUGGCCCUUUUGACUCAUCAAUACCGCCCUUGGAAACUUUUCCUCGGGAAAUAACCCUCCCCCAAAGAGAAUGGCCACAUGUACAAUAAUUACUUUAGCCUUAUUUGUGGUAGGGAAAGUUGGAGUAACUUAUGGUAUGUAACAUUGUGUAACUUACCACUGAGUAAGCAGAAAGGAGUAACUUGGAAAACAUUUGAUUACAUAUUAUUCGGGGAAAGAUACAGUUUGUUCCACACACUAAAAACCUGAAACUGAAUUGUAUACUUUAAAAGGGUGAAUUUUGUGAAUCAUAGCUCAACUUUUCAAAAUUUUUGCUUUUGUAUCAGCCAAGAUCAGCAGGAAACAGAUGGCCUGCUCAAAAUGUGUAACUGAAGAGCGUUAAUGAAGGGACAGUGACAAAGAGGCAGGCAGGGUUGAGGGAAACCAACAAGGGAUAGUGAAGCACCCCAGGGCUACAUCUGCUGAGAAGCCAUUAUCAGCCACAGGCUGAGUGAGAACAAAAGCUUCAGGAAAGAGAGAGCCCAUAGGAACUUACAGGAAUACAGCACUACCUUUCUCUCUUGCCCUCAGGUCUCCUGUGGUACCUCCCCCACUGGCUGAACCCAAGAGGAAGCCUAAGGACAAGUGAGCCCAGAUGACAGUGUCCUUCAAGGCCAGCCUCUGGAAAAGGACGGCGGGUGGAUCUGGGAAGACAAAGGCAGAAUAUCUAGCAGGUAUGCGAUCAUAGAACAAUGCGAGAACUGUCUAAGCAUAUGGCCAAGGAUCUUCAGGGAAUCCAAAAAACCAGGGUUUCCAGAGAGAAAAAGUGGAGGUAGCUGGAGAGCAGGUAGGGUGGGUGGAGGGAACGGGAAAGAUCAUUAACUCAGGCUGAGACAAGGAUGAGAGGCAGAAACAGGCACUUUUUAUUUUUUGGUCAAAUACUUAGCUGGAGACUGAGCUCUGGAAGAGAUUAAUAGGAGAUACAGGAACUAAAUUAGACUAGGGCAUUGGAAAUUCUUCCCCUAUUGGCUAUUACCCUAUAUUUCUCCUUCCUAGCUAAACUGCAUGCGUUCAACAAAUAAUUGCUUAGUACCUAUCAUGUGCCAGGAACUGUUAGGCCCUGGGGAUUGAGGAGGGAACAAAAUUAACAUCCUUGCUGUCCUGCAGUUUACAUCCUGGUGUGGGGAGACAGACCAUAGAUAAGUAAAUAUGUCAAGGAAUGAUAAGCGUUCUAAAGAAAAAAUGUGGGAGAGCAGGGAAAUAAAAUUCCGCCCAUUCUAUAUCUUAAGAACCUCAUGAUUUAGAGGUCCCCCCUACACACACACACACACACACACACACACACACACACACACACACCCCAGAGCUCCAGAGUAAAUUAGGCAGUGUGUAUCUCUCACCUGGACAAAGUUCAUAUAAUACCUUCCUCCCUCCAGCACCCUCCAGCCAGUCCUGCCCUGUCUGUGGGGAGGAUCUCCCUGAGACGAAUCACGUCAGUGCCCUGCUUAAAAUCCUCCAAAGCUCUUGUUCGCCUGCAGUGUGGAACACUGUCUAACCUCCUUAUCAUAGACCUUUUCUUAUCUUCUCUGUCCAUCAUGUGCCUCUACCUCCCCCACUCUCCUCUUCUGCCCACACUAAUUGUCUGUAGUUUACUGGCCAUGCCCUACCGCGUAUAUCCGUAUGUUUGCUCAUGCUGCUCUUUCCACUCGGAGGGCCCUCCCAUGCCCUCCACCUUUGCCAGAAUUUGCCAAUCCCCUCUUUGUUUUUCUAAACCCCUCAGCUACCACCUCUUUAGUCAAGCUCCCCUGACCUUCCCAGGUGUGAAGGAGCAUCUCCCAACUCCCUCUUUCGUGUUAUCAGUAUAUCUUAUAGAUACUUAUGAAUACAUUUAUCAUACCAUAUAAUCUUAUUUCUUAGAUCUUAAGAUGUACAGAAGUGGGUUUGGGGCACCUGGGUGGCUUAGUUGGUGGAGCGCCUGACUUCGGCUUGGGUCAUAAUCUUGGGGUCCUGGGAUCGAGUCCCACAUCCAACUCCAUGCUCAGUGGAGACUCGGCUUCUCUCUCUCCUAUGUUCAUCGGUUCAUGUGUGACCCUCUUUUGUUACUCAUCAUCCACCCUAAAAACUAGGAUUGACAACUUACACAUACACCCCCCCCACACCCAAUGCUUAAUCUUGUGUUUAUCAUUUUCUUGCUUCUAAAAAUAUUUUUAUCUAGAAAAUCUUUUUUUUUAAUCUUUUAAAGAUUUUAUGUAUUCAUUUGACAGAGAGGGACAGCCAGCGAGAGAGGGAACACAAGCAGGGGA